rnacentral:lncRNA from 1 species
GGCAGGCUUAACUCAAUCAAAAAACGUACAUCAAUACACUAUAAACGAAUAAAUUUGAUUUGCGAUAUCUGAAUGCAAAUGCACAAUUAAUAAAAUAUUAGGGACAAAAAUUCAAGGCCAAAAAGCAAACAAACAAGUCCAAACUAAGCCAUGUCAAGUCCCACUGCGAAAUAUUUAACCCUUCAAAAAUAUUCACUUUAGAAAAAAACCGGUUUUAAAAAAAUACAGGUAAAU